GAUUGUGGCACAUGGGUCUUCAGGACUUGCAGGUCAGUUCCUGGGCUGGCUCUCAGUAAAACUUGAGUUUUGCUCCCAGUCUCUCUGAGAUAUCAGCAGGGAUAUGUCCAGCACAACUGGGACAUGCCCUGAGAGAGGGGGAAAAUGGUGUCAGGGAGGAACUGCCAGCAGGAAGGUGGAAAGCAGCUAAGGAAGAUGGUGGCAGAGGAGGAGAAGCAGUUGUCCAUUCUGGGCUCUGUGAUUAAUCUAGCUAAAUUAACAGGGAAGGCUUUCAGCUUUAAUUGCUGCAGUCUUUUAAGUUUGAGCAGGUUCUUGAGUUCAGAGUCCCAUAUGGAAAGGCUAAAGUCCGGUUCAAGCGCUGUGUUCUUCAUGCAUGUGGCAUUUGAAUUUGAGAUCAGACAAAAUAAAAUUAUUCUAGGCAAAGUACUGAGGCUGUUGAAAGACAUCUCAGCUAAUAUCUUACAAAAGGAUACCCCAGAAAGAAGCUGGUUUAUCUAUGUGGAAUCACGUACUGUUAUUUUUGAAAGACUGGCAUCAAUAUAGUAGCUGUAAUGAAAGGUGAUUGGAGAGCUUUCCUAUAGGGUAUGAAUACCUGGCAAGCCUCAGAGAAGCUUUGCUUGUUCUCUGCCAGGUAAGAUGUCUGACUAUUCGCAGUUACAACAGUAGCAAAUAUUAACAUGUAUUUUACAGGCACUUUAUAUGAAAAAGUU